UUUUCAAGAUCACACCGACUAUCUGAAUCGAUGACGGUUAUUCAAUAUGAACAUCAACUAUAUACGAACAUGUAGUGUAAUUAUCGCUCAUGAACGGUCCAUUAUUUGAUCUUAACGGCAGUUGAUGGAGCAACUGUCCACUAAAUAUCAUAACUUUCACGUUCUGAAUAUUCAAAAGCGAUAGUUAUACAAUAACGAC
rnacentral:lncRNA from 1 species